rnacentral:tRNA from 1 species
GUCACGAUAGUGCAGUGGUAGAGCAGCGGCGUUUCAAGCCGAAGAUCGUGGGUUCGAAUCCCGCUCGUGACA